rnacentral:rRNA from 1 species
GACGAACGCUGGCGGCGUGCUUAACACAUGCAAGUCGAACGGAAAGGCCCUGCUCUUGCGGGGUGCUCGAUUGGCGAACGGGUGAGUAACACGUGAGUAACCUGCCCUUGACUUUGGGAUAACUUCAGGAAACUGGGGCUAAUAUCGGAUAGGAUCUCUUGCUGCAUGGUGGGGGUUGGAAAGUUUCGGCGGUUGGGGAUGGACUCGCGGCUUAUCAGCUUGUUGGUGGGGUAGUGGCUUACCAAGGGUUUGACGGGUAGCCGGCCUGAGAGGGUGACCGGGCACAAUGGUACUGCGAUACGGAGCAGACUCCUACGGGAGGCAGCAGUGGAGAAUAUUACACAGUGGGGGGGAGCCUGAUGCAGCAACGCCGCGUGCGGGAUAACGGCCUUCGGGUUGUAAACCGAUUUCGCCGGUGACGAAGAGUGAGUGACGGUAAUGGGUAAGGAAGCACCGGCUAACUACGUG